rnacentral:rRNA from 1 species
UACGUAGGGUGCGAGCGUUAAUCGGAAUUACUGGGCGUAAAGCGUGCGCAGGCGGUUUUGUAAGCCAGGUGUGAAAUCCCCGGGCUCAACCUGGGAAUGGCAUUUGGGACUGCAAGGCUGGAGUGCGGCAGAGGAGACUGGAAUUCCUGGUGUAGCAGUGAAAUGCGUAGAUAUCAGGAGGAAUACCGAUGGCGAAGGCAGGUCUCUGGGCUGACACUGACGCUCAUGCACGAAAGCGUGGGAGCAAACAGG